GACAGAGGGUGCAAACGUUGUUCGGAAUUACUGGGCGUAAAGCGCGUGUAGGCGGCCCUGCAAGUCGGAUGUGAAAUCCCACGGCUCAACCGUGGAAGUGCAUUCGAAACUGCAGGGCUAGAGUCCUGGAGAGGAAGGUGGAAUGCUUGGUGUAGAGGUGAAAUUCGUAGAUAUCAAGCGGAACACCGGUGGCGAAGGCGGCCUUCUGGACAGUGACUGACGCUGAGACGCGAAAGCGUGGGGAGCAACAGGAU
rnacentral:rRNA from 1 species